rnacentral:rRNA from 1 species
CUACAAUGGCCGGUACAGAGAGCAGCCACCCCGCGAGGGGAGCGAAUCUACAAAACCGGUCUCAGUUCGGAUCGCAGUCUGCAACUCGACUGCGUGAAGCUGGAAUCGCUAGUAAUCGCGCAUCAGCCAUGGCGCGGUGAAUACGUUCCCGGGCCUUGUACACACCGCCCGUCAAGCCAUGGAAGUCUGGGGACCUGAAGACGGUAACCGCAAGGAGCCGUUAAGGGUAAAACAGGUAACUAGGGCUAAGUCGUAACAAGGUACC